CCAACACCCACCCCAGAGAGCUGGAAGAGAACCUGUCCCGCUGCUGAGGGAGGAGGGGCAGCUCAGUGCAGAGAGAGACAAAGAGAAUGGGCUAGAACCAGGUAGGUACCUGCUCUAUGUAGGCAGGGUCGGGGGGAUCCUGUUUAUCCCCUCCCCGGCCCUGCUGUGUUUGCAGAUUACCCCUGGUCCCCCCCUUGCUCCAGGGACUAACCCUAGCUCCUGCCCCACUGUGUUUUUGCCCCCAGACCCUUUUACAAUCAUUCCCCAGGGGGGCCCACAAAUGUUUGGCGUCGCGCUCACAAAAAGUUAAUCCGGCCCUGUGACUGAUGCGCUGGCUGGUGCCAUGGUCUGGGCGGCUGUGGUGCUCCCCCGUCUUCUGCUGCUCUGGGCCCCGGGGCUGUGGCUGCCCUUCAACUCCCCACUGCCCUUUGACUGCUUGCCGCCCCCAAAAGCCACCCGGAUGGGGGCACCUGGCUCUUGGGGAGUAUCCACCGUGGGCGGCAGGAGCCUGGGGCAGAGUGGGUCUGUUUGGAUUGCCAUGGGGCAUCCUGGACCCUCUGCCUGCUCUGUGCGGUGCAGACAGUGAGUGGGGACUUCUGCGAUGCUGCUGGUGGUGGCACUGUCUUCAGAGCUGGGCAGCCAAAGAGCUAGCCAGUCAGGCUAAUGCAGUGUGUUUCUCUUGCAGCAACAGUGACACCCAGUGGCAAUCAAUGGUACUGCACAGAGUAUGGUGUUUUGCAUGGAGCAACAGUGGCACCUGGUGCACAGUCAAGCUUCUCUUGCAGAGAUGUAAACUGACGCUCUUCCGCUGCGCGGUGUUUCUCGGGUGGGCUCAUUUGAAGAGGCUGUUCCGCAGCAUGACCUGGGUUGGCUCCUCACAGCUACAAAGUGAGUCUGGAAGUGCUUGGAAAGACUAUCUGCCAUUACUGCGACUUGUUGUCUGAAACAGUGAAUGAAGAUGGCAUCUCCCGCCUGUAUGAAGCUUUUCAGGAAGUGCCUUUGAAAUCUGACAGGACCACGUGGCACAUCCUCAGUACACAUUACAAGUGGUUGCAGAAGCUUGGAAAUCUUGCGUGGGGUUCUGCAUUCAACUAGGGAACCGGAACCGACACAGAAGACCUCUUUGUCCUGCUAUGCUACGUACAACAGACGUUUAUCAACUCUUUGGAACAGGGGCUGAACGGUGAGGUGGCUAUUUGCAGAUGACACAAAAUUAUGUAGGUUAGUCGAGCCUAGAGAAGACUUUGAAGCAGUUGAAAGAGAUCUAAUAAAGCCAUGUGACUGGGCAGCACAAUGGCAGAUGAAAGUCAGUGCUGACAAAUACAGGGUCAUACACACGUGAGGCCUGGUGCUACUUCUCCCUGAGGGAUUUUAUAGCUAACUGGCUGGCUGGGUGUCAAUAAAAAGGAGCUCCCCCCCCCUUCAUUUAUCACAGGAACAAACCGUUUUAAAAAGUUUUUCCCUAUGCUUUUGGUGAGGACAAUUUGAAGCUGCAGCAAAAGCAGCAUCUGUGAGCCACUGGAUCAUAGAGAGAUAAAAAGAUUGCUUCUUCCCCUUCUUUUUAACAAAUAGAGGCGAAAGGUCUAUUAAGCUUUCAUUUUCUUAGGACUAUUAGAUUUAAGUAUGGAUUUUUCUGUUGCAUUAUCAGAAUGUCUUUGUCUUUAAAUAUUUGCAACCUGCGUGAUGAGACACAGGUACAAGCUCUUGUGUUUGUUUUGGGUCCAUAGAUUUUAUUAAAAUAAUACAUCGCAGGCUGGAGCUGCGGCUUUCUCUAUAUUUUAAAAACAGAUGACUAGGCUAGCCAGUCUUCCAUGCACUAUAGUCUCUAGGAAACACCCCUUCAGUUUGCUUGUUUUUUUUAAACAGACGACUUUCCUAACUUUUUAAACGCUGUUAAAGUUUUAACCAAUGGUGAGAUUAUAUUGAAAGACACUUUAUGAAAGGUAUAACAAGUAUUUUAUUCCAUUGACUGAUUGUAAAAGACAAAACUCAUCGCUUUGUGACUGCAUGAAGCUCAGAGAUAGCCCAUCUGAAGAACUCCCCCCACCUCUUGACUUCCCCCCAUACUUUUAACACAUGCUAAACAUGUUUCAUUAUAUUAAAUAGUGUUUUUUUUUUAACAUUUAACAUGAAAAUGCAGCAUUGACUGAGAUGUAACAUAGCACGACCUUUUAAAAGGAUAAUCUGUAUGCAGUGAGGCCUAUUUGAAGCAUUUUUUUUUUAAAGUUUAACAUGAAAAAGCAGUAUAGACUGAGCUGUACUAAAACAAGGCCCCUCUUAGGGAUCUUUUGUAGAAGUUUAGUGAACUAAAAAGGCUUAAGAUACUAGCCUAUCCUUUUUAAAAUAGUGUUUUUAACGUACCAAAACAGCAACUGGGCAAGAAUAUGAAAACUGGCAACUGAAGGGAGUUUACAUAUGUGUUUUAACAAAAAACCAAAAUUAACCAAAAAAUACACAAGAUUGCUUUUUAAAUUUUGGAUUUAUACAAAAAACACAAGAAAAAAUAGCUUAUGUAAAAACGUUAGCUGUUUUUUACCAGAGAUCAGGCAUCUGCCUCCCCCUCCCCGCCCCCUUCUUCUUUUCUAAUGUUUUUUAAAAUCUAAACCGAGGACGAACAAAUUUUUUAAAAAAUGCCACCGCCACAGAGAUCAGGCCAUGGGUGUAAGAAAGCUCUCUUGAGUUUUAGAGGGAAAGUUGAUAACACUUUUAGUGAAACAGUUUUGUAGGCAGCCAUUCUGUGUUAGUUGUUCUGCUUUAGCACGGGCAAGCGUUUGUCAUUCGGAAACACUUUCACACUUUAUGAGGUAUUAUCUCCCCCAUCCUAUGGCCUAUCAGAAAUAUUAACAAAAACAAACUUAAAGAUACUUUUUAGCAGUGCCUGCAAAGCAACAAUUACAAUUUUGUUUAUCAUUAUCUUCUCUAAGGCCCUAGAGAAUAUUUUUUUUUAUAAAACACAUUUUUGCAAGCUGUAACCUUAGAUGCUGUUCAGAAUUAAAUAAUAUGAACAGGUAGAUGAGAAAUCUGAGACGUUGAAAUCACAGGUGUCAUGAUUAAGUCCUAAUGCAGAGGGCCUGGGGGGGUGGGGGAAUAAAAAGAUACAGCCGAAGCGGAGGAUGGUAUGAUUUAAGAGGGGUUCUGGGGCUGCUUUGCAAUGGUCCAGAUUCCCCAACAGCCUAUAUCCCUCAUACACAAGCGCCAGGGUAGGGUGCGGUAGGGUGCGGUGGGUGAGUCUUUAUGAGCGGCCUGCUCCUCUAAGAAACUACUUCUUGUUGUUGACAAACUGUAACCUAACUAUAUGUAUACUAUGGAGGCAACCCACUUUUCUUUGGACAAACCCCACACCUCUUGAACUCCAUAAAAACAUGUUUCACACUAUUAUUUUCAACUGACAUUUUAUUUAAAACAUGCAUUUUUUAUUUUGUUUUACAACACGUGUUUUGUUCCCAAAACAUGCUCUAACUUUUACUGUUUUUUCUUAGCAAGAUUUUGUAAUUUGCUGAAGGAGGAAGAGGCUCAACAUUUAGCAUUAAACAUUUAUCUGUCAGUUUGAUCAUUUAAUCAAAAAUGCUAUUUGGAUCCUCGGCCUCUGUUACUUUGUCCACCAAUUCUGCCCCUAGGGCUAAAUGUUCCUGGAUUAAACACAGGCACUGCAGCACGUAUCCCAACAGGAUAAUUUUAUUUAACACACGCUCCAUAUACAAACUACCCGCUAAUUUCUUUAAUUUUACAGUUCACAUCAUCUAAAGACCAGUACCUGCAGUCGUGAUGCCUCUGACCGGGGGCAUCUGUGGUGCACCCAGGACAAUCCUCAUUUUGUUUCUCUCUCAGGCAGUGCUUGAUGAUUCCGUGCACAGGUGCUCGCACAGUUGCAUCCAUCACCGCUUUAUGGUUAUGAACUCACACAGGUUUAAUACCAAAUUUCUCCCUCAAUUUUAGAUAGUAUAGGCCUAUAGAAUAAGCAUCCCCCUCUGUUUCAGCAUUCUGUUGAGCAUCUGGUUUUGGGUAUGGGCAAAACCAGAUAGGGCUCAAUCCGCUUGUCCCUUCGGAGCUGUCGGUGUCCAGAACCUCCAAGUCCUCUGAAGAACCAUCGCUCAGCUGCUGAAAAAUGUACAGUAAGAAAUACGUAGAAGGCAUCUUUGUACUUUUUCAUAACAUGAUUUUAAAACCUUUUACACUGUGUGUCAAGCGACUCCUUCCACAUGCAGCUUUUAAAAACAACAAUAAAUGCAAUCUCUGUGCAGGCUUGAUCCAAAAGGCUCUAGCCAACUGAGCACUGGUGACCGGGUCCCUGCCAAACCAAUCCUUGAACGUUCUUGCAUACAAUGUAUCAGGGCCUCGUCUCCGUACAGCCCUUUGUUUGAAUUGUUUGGGUUCUCCUGCCCAGGAUCCGGAGUCUCAAACAAAUCUUGGCCCAGCGGUCUGGCCUCAUGUUUCGCCACCACAUUGUUCUUGAGGGUACAGCCAUCAUUAGCGAUCCCUGUUUCCCCACUCCCAUGACCCGUCUCAAACACUGUUUGCCAAAACAGUAUGUUUGUUUCUUCAGGUCCCAUAGCAGCACCCGUAUAACACCUCUUCAUGAAAGGCUUGACGGCCAGUGUUGGCCAAGGCCUUCUAGGUUCAGCCAUCUUUAAUCAUCAGACCCAUUUAACUAGAAGCUCCUCCUUACUUUAGCCAGGCUGUAUGAUAUUCUUAACCAAUAAUUUAGGGCUGACGUUGCUCUCCCUCCCUGUAGACGAGCGGACUCACCCCUGCAGCACCUCCUGCUGGU